rnacentral:sRNA from 1 species
AAAAUUCAGAAUGUGAGAAGUGUUCCAUUAAGGAAAAAGUUUGGGAAACACUGGUCUAAAGGUUUAGGUACCAGAACGAUUCUCCUAGGUUUGGGAAACACUGGUCUAAAGGUUUAGGUACCAGAACGUUUCUCCUAGGUUCAAUGGUAAAAAAAAUAAUUACAACACUUAGGGAUGUGACAUAUUUAUUUCGCGCUCAGUUUUCAACAUUGCCAAUUACACCCAAGCAUACACAUAGGACUAAUUACAGGCAUAGCAUAAUGACAGUGUCUUUGUUUUGGUUGAUGUUCUGACAGAGUCAAUGCAACAUAGUGCCAUGUAGCUUAGGGACAAUUUUAAAAGGUCAACCUAACACAAUUGUAUUUCUUCGCCUCGCUACUUUGAGAAAAAAUAAAUAAUAAAAUGAUAUGUACACAAUAGUGAACUUCGUUAAAGGAAAAGACAACCCGUAUGGCAGUAAGCAGCUCGGAAACUGAGGAGAGAGAAGGCAAUGCUGCAGCGAUGUGUUGGUCAUUUAUUUGUCUUUAACUAAAAGGACACUGUUUGGUCAGUCAUUUUUCCUCUUUUUCAAUUCUAACUUACAAUAACGUCUUCCUUUUAUUCUCCUUUCAAAUGUAACCUUAAUUAAUUACUUCUGUUUUAAAGAAUGUACAAAAGUUGCUUAAUGGAAUAAUGUUGAUAAUAAAUUAUUGCAUAUUGGAAAAAAAA